GUUGCUCAGUGGUAGAGCAUAUGCUUUGCAUGCAUGAGACCCUGGGUUUAAUCCCUGGAACU
rnacentral:tRNA from 1 species